rnacentral:rRNA from 1 species
GAUGAACGCUAGCGGCAGGCUUAAUACAUGCAAGUCGAGGGGCAGCAUGAAUGUAGCAAUACAUUUGAUGGCGACCGGCAAACGGGUGCGGAACACGUACACAACCUUCCUAUAAGUGGGGAAUAGCCCAGAGAAAUUUGGAUUAAUACCCCGUAACAUAAUGAUGUGGCAUCACAUUAUUAUCAUAGCUUCGGCGCUUAUUGAUGGGUGUGCGGCUGAUUAGAUGGUUGGCGGGGUAAUGGCCCACCAAGUCUACGAUCAGUAGCUGAUGUGAGAGAAUGAUCAGCCACACGGGCACUGAGACACGGGCCCGACUCCUACGGGAGGCAGCAGUAAGGAAUAUUGAUCAAUGGACGCAAGUCUGAACCAGCCAUGCCGCGUGAAGGAUUAAGGUCCUCUGGAUUGUAAACUUCUUUUAUCUGGGACGAAAAAAGGCUAUUCUUAGUCACUUGACGGUACCAGAUGAAUAAGCACCGGCUAACUCCGUGCCAGCCGCCGCCGUAAAAC